rnacentral:misc_RNA from 1 species
AAAGAAUGAAAGAUAUCCUUGUAAAACCAAAUCAGAAGUUUGUACAUGUAACAGCAAGCAAAGAUAUAUAACUUCAGGAAAAUAUAACACUUUUGUCAAGAUCAAUGAAUUCUAUGUAUUGGUGCUCACAUGUCAACCUAAAUGAACAUUAGAAUGAUGCAGCUUGAAAAGAAUCAGAUGAGCAAGCUGUUUUUAUAUGUCAUUAAGAAGUUGCCUGCAUGUGUUGGUAUUUUCAUGAAUCGCGUUUCUCUGAGGUGCAUUUUGCUUCAGUUUGAAGUUGUCUCUAGCAGGGUGCUUGGCCUGCAAACCGUCUUUCUUUUUCCGAGUAUCUCAGCUCCUUCGAAGAGGAAAUAGCCUUAGAUCCUCACCGGCUGAAUUCCCAGUAUGCGCGUCUAACUCAAAUCAUUCACCAUCAGAUCUUCUGUGAGAUUCUCUUCUUAUCAUUUGUAUGAGGUCCUGAACAACUUCAGACAUUGGUGGCCUGAAUUCUCGCUCAUGCUGAACACAGCGGGAAAUUAUGUCAGCAAAGUGUGAUAGUGAUUUAAUGGGGUAUUUUCCAUCGAGAGCAGGAUCAACCAUCCUUGUCAAGAGAUCAAUAUCGUGUAGCUGAGGGAUUGCCCACCUGACCAAGAACUGCUCUCCUCGACUCCGUGUCCGGUCAUAUGACAUUCUGCCUGUUAUUAAUUCCAGCAUCACCACACCAAAACUGUAAACAU